rnacentral:rRNA from 1 species
UUGUCUCAAAGAUUAAGCCAUGCAUGUCUAAGUAUAAGCAAUUAUACAGCGAAACUGCGAAUGGCUCAUUAUAUAAGUUAUCGUUCAUUUGAUAGUACCUUACUACUUGGAUAACCGUGGUAAUUCUAGAGCUAAUACAUGCUGAAAAUCCCGACUCCGGAAGGGAUGUAUUUAUUAGAUUCAAAGCCAAUGCCCUCUGGGCUCACUGGUGAUUCAUGAUAACUCCUCGAAUCGCACGGCCUUGCGCCGGCGAUGGUUCAUUCAAAUUUCUUCCCUAUCAACUUUCGAUGUUUGGGUAGUGGCCAAACAUGGUUGCAACGGGUAACGGAGGGUUAGGGCUCGACCCCGGAGAAGGAGCCUGAGAAACGGCUACUACAUCCAAGGAAGGCAGCAGGCGCGCAAAUUACCCAAUCCCGACACGGGGAGGUAGUGACAAUAAAUACUGAUACAGGGCUCUUUUGGGUCUUGUAAUUGGAAUGAGUACAAUUUAAAACCCUUAACGAGGAACAAUUGGAGGGCAAGUCUGGUGCCAGCAGCCGCGGUAAUUCCAGCUCCAAUAGC